CGGGAAUUCGAUUAGAGUUUGAUCCUGGCUCAGAGUGAACGCUGGCGGUAGGCCUAACACAUGCAAGUCGGACGGCAGCACAGUAAGAGCUUGCUCUUAUGGGUGGCGAGUGGCGGACGGGUGAGGAAUACAUCGGAAUCUACUUUUUCGUGGGGGAUAACGUAGGGAAACUUACGCUAAUACCGCAUACGACCUACGGGUGAAAGCAGGGGAUCUUCGGACCUUGCGCGAUUGAAUGAGCCGAUGUCGGAUUAGCUAGUUGGCGGGGUAAAGGCCCACCAAGGCGACGAUCCGUAGCUGGUCUGAGAGGAUGAUCAGCCACACUGGAACUGAGACACGGUCCAGACUCCUACGGGAGGCAGCA
rnacentral:rRNA from 1 species